UAUAUACUCCCUUCGUCCCGUAUUAGUUGACGCUCAAAUGGAUGUGUCCAUACAUAUUUCAGUUCUAGAUACAUCCGUUGAGCAUCAAUUAAUAUGGGAUGAAGGAAGUACUAG
rnacentral:pre_miRNA from 1 species